rnacentral:rRNA from 1 species
ACUACGGGUGGCAGCAGUGGGGGAUAUUGCACAAUGGGGGAAACCCUGAUGCAGCGACGCCGCGUGAGUGAAGAAGUAUUUCGGUAUGUAAAGCUCUAUCAGCAGGGGAGUAAAUGCCAGUACCUGACCAAGAAGCCCCGGAUAACUACGUGCCAGCAGCCGCGGUAAUACGUAGGGGGCCAGCGGUAUCCGGAUUUACUGGGUGUAAAGGGGGCGUAGGCGGUUAUGUAAGUCUGGAGGGAAUGCCCGGGGCUCAACCCCGGGACUGCUUUGGAGACUGUGUAACUGGAGUAUAGGAGGGGCAGGCGGAAUGGAUGGUGUAGCGGUGAAAUGCGUAGAUAUCAGAAGGAACACCGGCGGCGAAGGCAGCCUGC